UAGUUACCUGGUCAUUUUGUACAUUCAAAUCAAGUGUUACCUUUCUUUCUUUCUUUAUUGCAGCAGCCACAGCCACCCCUACUCUAUUCCCUCUUAUGAACUGUGGAACCGCUUCUAACAAUGUCUACAGCAUCGGUUGUCUCGCUACCGGCUUUUCACCUUCCUCACUCACAUUCAAGUGGAAAGAUGCCAGCGGGAGUCCGCUGACGGACUUCGUCCAGUACCCGGCAGUCCAGAAUGGGGGAGCCUACACAGGAGUCAGUCAGCUCCGUGUGGCUAAGAAUGACUGGGAAAACUCAAAGUCUUUUAAUUGUUCUGUGGAACAUCUUGGAACGGAAACGACAGCAGUCAUCAAUGUCCCAAAGUCUCCAACAGUGUCUUUGCUGUCGGGGCCCAUUGGCACCACCCAGUACCUGAUGUGUAUGAUUGAAGAUUUCGCCCCCAAUAAAGUCACUGUCACCUGGAAGAAGAAUGGCAUGGAGGUGGAGGGCCAGAUCACUACUGUAGGCAAACAGCCGUCAGGCCUCUACUCAGGCAGCAGUCUGCUGAAGGUCAACAACACUGACUGGAACAACAAGGUCAAGUACAGCUGUGUGGUGGAGCACCAGGGACCACCCACCAUCAAGACAAUCUCCAAAACAGAACCACUGACGGUGACUCUGAACCCACCGCGUGUGAGAGAGGUGUUCUUGGACAACCAAGCAGUGCUGGACUGUGUCAUUACUGGUACAGACCAGGACACAGUGUCUGGUACCACUAUCACCUGGCAGGUCAACGACCAUGCCGAGACGGGUGGCAUCAUUCUGAAAGAUAUUGAAUCAAAGGGCAACCUGAACAGCAGGGUCAGUACUCUGACCAUAAACCAGACGGACUGGACCAAAGUGAACAAAGUCCAGUGUUCUGCCAUGAAGAGUGGUGAAGACAAACCGGUCAUUCAGGAACUCUUCACCAAAGAAAGUGAAGCCCCUUCAGUGUCCGUCCACCUUCUCCCGGAGAAAGACACCAGGGAGGAGGAGACUGUGACUCUGGUGUGCCUGGUGGUCUGCCCGUCUCUCUGUGACGUCUACAUCAUGUGGCAGGUGAACAGCAACCAGUACCAGGAGGGGGUCACCAGCCCUCCUCAGAAAACCCAGAAAGGCGACUACUCUGUCACCAGCGUCUUCACCACCACCAAGGAUAAGUGG